rnacentral:rRNA from 1 species
AACGAACGCUGGCGGCGUGCUUAACACAUGCAAGUCGAACGGAAAGGCCCUGCUUUUGGGCGGUGGUCGACUUGCGAAGGGGUAACUUACACGUGGGUACCCUGCACUUCACUUUGGGAUGACUUAAUGACACUGAGUCUCAUCGCGGCUAGGAGCUCCUGCUGCUUGGUGGGGGUUGGUAAGUUUAGGCGGUUGGGAAUGGACUCGCGUCUUAUCAGCUUGUUGGUGGGGUAGUGGCUUACCAAGGCUUGGACAGGUAGCAGGCCUGAGAGGGUGACAGGCCACACUGGGACUGAGAUACGACACAGACUCGUAUGGGAGGCAGCAGUGGGGAGUAGUGCACAAUGGGAUGAAGCCUGAUGUAGCAACGCCGCGUGCGGGAUGACGGCCUUGGGGUUGGAUACCGCUGUCGCUUGUGACGAAGCGUGAGUGACGGUAAUGGGUGAAGAAGCACCGGCUAACUACGUG